rnacentral:lncRNA from 1 species
AGGGCUCAUCUUUAUAGUCCGUGGAGCCGGACUUUUCUCCCAUCAAUGUUUGCUUGAUGAUGGCUCAUCCGUCUUGGGAGGAGGAGAUGGUUGGACCUUCUUGGGCUUCCAUUCUAGGUGGAUCACCUUGGGCAGUGUGGCAGUUUGUUCAACCUUUUCUUUUACCUUCCACACUGUCUUCUUUUGUGAGGGUUUGGGG